AGGGCAGGCCUUUCAGGCAUCCUCUCCUAAAAACUUUCAUGAGCCGGCCAGCCUUGGCCGGCUCUUUUUUUGCCCCUCU
rnacentral:sRNA from 1 species